AUGAACGCUGGCGGCGUGCUUAACACAUGCAAGUCGAACGAAGCACUUUAUUUGAUUUCCUUCGGGACUGAUUAUUUUGUGACUGAGUGGCGGACGGGUGAGUAACGCGUGGGUAACCUGCCUUGUACAGGGGGAUAACAGUUGGAAACGGCUGCUAAUACCGCAUAAGCGCACAGCAUCGCAUGAUGCAGUGUGAAAAACUCCGGUGGUAUAAGAUGGACCCGCGUUGGAUUAGCUAGUUGGUGAGGUAACGGCCCACCAAGGCGACGAUCCAUAGCCGCCCGGGAGGGGGGCCCGGCACAAUUGGGGAUGGGACAAGCCCCAAAUUCCGAGGGAGGGGAGAAGGGGGGAAAUAGCAAAAAGGGGCGAAAGACGAAGGCGGCGCGGCCGGGAAAGCAAAGAAUUAUUUAGGUAUGUAAAGCUCUAAAAACGGGGAAGGGAAGGCGGGAACCGAACAAAAAGGCACGGGUAAAAACCGG
rnacentral:rRNA from 1 species